CCUAACCCUUAUCGAUUUCCUGUUUAUCCUGUUAACGAAUGUCCUAGAAGCAAAAAUGAGUUUAAAACAGCAGCACAAAGAAGAAAUUGCACCAGAGGCUUACGAUACCUGUGUUCCCCUAAUAAAUACAUGUCAUCUCUAAUAGAAUUCUGCACAGACCGACCUAGAAGUCUUUAUGAAAAAGGCAACUGUGUGUUACUUGAAGGUACAGGUGACCUGGACCAUUACAGCUGUGUAGAAAAGUUCAAUAGUAGCUGUCCUUCGGAAUAUUAUUAUGACGAAGAUAUUUUUAAAUAUCCAGCAUGCCUAGAAAUUGAUAAGCAGCUCCGAUGUUUUGCUGCUGAUAAUGAUUGCAAUAAAAGAGAUUUACCUACAACAGAAACCCAUCUCAACAUUUCUAGAAUGGAAACUGUCGGGAAAGAAACUUUUAGAAGAGAAUCUCCUAAAGUACUUGCAAUUGUCUAUAUAAUUACUGUUGUUUCAGUUGGGUUUAUACUGAUCUGGAUUAUUUUUAAA